rnacentral:rRNA from 1 species
AAAUAGAUACCCUGGUAGUCCACGCCGUAAACGAUGAGUGCUAAGUGUUGGGGGGUUUCCGCCCCUCAGUGCUGCAGCUAACGCAUUAAGCACUCCGCCUGGGGAGUACGGUCGCAAGACUGAAACUCAAAGGAAUUGACGGGGGCCCGCACAAGCGGUGGAGCAUGUGGUUUAAUUCGAAGCAACGCGAAGAACCUUACCAGGUCUUGACAUCCCGGUGACCACUAUGGAGACAUAGUUUCCCCUUCGGGGGCAACGGUGACAGGUGGUGCAUGGUUGUCGUCAGCUCGUGUCGUGAGAUGUUGGGUUAAGUCCCGCAACGAGCGCAACCCUUAUUCUUAGUUGCCAUCAUUCAGUUGGGCACUCUAAGGAGACUGCCGGUGAUAAGCCGGAGGAAGGUGGGGAUGACGUCAAAUCAUCAUGCCCCUUAUGACCUGGGCUACACACGUGCUACAAUGGACGGUACAAACGGUUGCCAACCCGCGAGGGGGAGCUAAUCCGAUAAAACCGUUCUCAGUUCGGAUUGUAGGCUGCAACUCGCCUAC